AGCGAACGUUUGCGGCGGGCCUAACACAUGCAAGUCGAACGCACUAGCAAUAGUGAGUGGCGCACGGGUGCGUAACACGUGGGUAAUCAACCCUUCAGCUUGGGAUAACGACUUGAAAGGGUCGCUAAUACCGGAUACGGCGCGGGAGGCUUCGGCUUCUCACGAGAAAGCCUCGCAAGGGGCACUGAAGGACGAGCCUGCGGCCCAUCAGCUAGUUGGUGAGGUAAGAGCUCACCAAGGCGAAGACGGGUAGCUGGUCUGAGAGGAUGAUCCCCCANACUGGUACUGAGACACGGACCAGACUCCUACGGGAGGCAGCAGUAGGGAAUAUUGGGCAAUGGACGAAAGUCUGACCCAGCCAUGCCGCGUGCAGGAUGACUGCCCUAUGGGUUGUAAACUGCUUUUCAUGGGAAGAAACACUCAUACGUGUAUGAACUUGACGGUACCAUAGGAAUAAGGAUCGGCUAACUCCGUGCCAGCAGCCG
rnacentral:rRNA from 1 species